rnacentral:rRNA from 1 species
CAAUAGCGUAUAUUAAAGUUGUUGCGGUUAAAAAGCUCGUAGUUGGAUUUCUGCUGAGGACGAUCGGUCCGCCCUCUGGGUGAGUAUCUGGCUCGGCCUUGGCAUCUUCUUGGAGAACGUUACUGCACUUGACUGUGUGGUGCGGUAUCCAGGACUUUUACUUUGAGGAAAUUAGAGUGUUUCAAGCAGGCGCACGCCUUGAAUACAUUAGCAUGGAAUAAUAAGAUAGGACCUUGGUUCUAUUUUGUUGGUUUCUAGAGCUGAGGUAAUGAUUAAUAGGGAUAGUUGGGGGCAUUCGUAUUUAACUGUCAGAGGUGAAAUUCUUGGAUUUGUUAGAGACGGACUACUGCGAAAGCAUUUGCCAAGGAUGUUUUCAUUGA